rnacentral:rRNA from 1 species
AGCGAACGCUGGCGGCAGGCCUAACACAUGCAAGUCGAACGAACCUUUCGGGGUUAGUGGCGGACGGGUGAGUAACACGUGGGAACGUGCCUUUAGGUUCGGAAUAACUCAGGGAAACUUGUGCUAAUACCGAAUGUGCCCUUCGGGGGAAAGAUUAAUCGCCUUUAGAGCGGCCCGCGUCUGAUUAGCUAGUUGGUUGAGGUAAUGGCUCACCAAGGCGACGAUCAGUAGCUGGUCUGAGAGGAUGAUCAGCCACAUUGGGACUGAGACACGGCCCAAACUCCUACGGGAGGCAGCACUGGGGAAUCUUGCGCAAUGGGCGAAAGCCUGACGCAGCCAUGCCGCGUGAAUGAUGAAGGUCUUAGGAUUGUAAAAUUCUUUCACCGGGGACGAUAAUGACGGUACCCGGAGAAGAAGCCCCGGCUAACUUCGUG